rnacentral:lncRNA from 1 species
GUGGGAUGGGUGGAGUAAGGUAGGGGAGAGGUGGUGUGGGAUGGAAUGGGAUGGAGUGGAAAGGAAAGGAACAAAAUGGAAUGGAAAUGAGGAGAUAUGGGGUAGGAGAGAGGUGGGAUGGGAUAGAAUAGGAGUAAGAAGGGGUGAUGGGAUGAAGUAGGGGAGAGGUGGGGUGGGAUGCAGACAGAAGCAGGAUGGACUUCCUCACACUGCCAGGGCACCUCACCGUGGUUUUAAUGACAACCUCUCAGUCCCUCCUGUGGUGAUGUUGCAGGAGUCCUGAUUACUCUGGAGGAUGGAGCUCCCUGACCACCAGCACCCAAACUGUCCUUUCAAGUGAGUGAGCUCCAUCUGGGAUGGAGCCAGUUCUUCAGGCUAACAGACAGCAAAGAGCAAUGCACUGGAGACUGCUGUAUUUGCAACAGAAGAGUUCCUUUCUGGCCCCUCAACAAAGGACUGACUUAUGCCUUGAUGCAUAUCUGGUUAAGACCCCUUUCAGGAUUUCUCUCAAUUCUACUUUUAUUUUUAAAUGUAUAAUAGAUAACUUAUAAUAGUAAUUAUUAUUUUCAUUGGUUUGUCCUUGUGCCUAAAAUAUCGAUCUCUGACCAUGAUCUUACUGCUUUAGGCAUUAUGCAGAAGAGUAAGCAAGUUAUGGAACCAAAGAUGUUACUAUAUAAACUAAUGAGGUUUUAAAUCAAAUAAUUUGCUUGUUGUUUUUUGUUUUGGGAAUUAAACCUGGUAGGAUAUUUUCCUUUGUCUCCAUUUAUGAGUUUUCCCUUUGCAUGAUGUGUUAUUUUAAUAUUCUGCGUAGGAAGAGCAUCCACUGGGCUUUUUCUGUCCUGCAUUUUAUGUUAUACAAUUUCCUUGUGUCUUCUCAUCUCCAUCCUCUUAACUGUAUCUUGUGUUUCAAUUUUUAUUAAUUUUCAUAUUGGGAAGAAUGUUUUUAUUGUGAUGAAGCUGUCCUAGCCUAUGUAUUUCCUUGUAGUAAAAUUGUGGUAAAGUAGGAAUCUCUUGCAGUUUUGAAAGCAAGCUAACCCAUGCUCAGGAAAAAUCAGAAAAGGCAAGGUCAGCACUAUGGGUUUAUAUGCAUCCAGGCACCAUUGCUAAGAUGAAGGGGAAAAAAACCCUAAAUUCCACUGAUUGCAGUAAAAUGUCCUUCAAAGCAGAUAAUUAUAAGAAUGGAAGCAAUUGCAGAAUUUUAAUAUCCCCUGUUAUAAGCAUUAAAGAUUUCCAUUAGGAAAGGUCACA